GACGAACGCUGGCGGCGUGCUUAACACAUGCAAGUCGAACGGAAAGGCCCUGCUUUUGUGGGGUGCUCGAGUGGCGAACGGGUGAGUAACACGUGAGUAACCUGCCCUUGACUUUGGGAUAACUUCAGGAAACUGGGGCUAAUACCGGAUAGGAGCUCCUGCUGCAUGGUGGGGGUUGGAAAGUUUCGGCGGUUGGGGAUGGACUCGCGGCUUAUCAGCUUGUUGGCGGGGUAGUGGCUUACCAAGGCUUUGACGGGUAGCCGGCCUGAGAGGGUGACCGGCCACAUUGGGACUGAGAUACGGCCCAGACUCCUACGGGAGGCAGCAGUGGGGAAUAUUGCACAAUGGGCGGAAGCCUGAUGCAGCAACGCCGCGUGCGGGAUGACGGCCUUCGGGUUGUAAACCGCUAUCGCCUGUGACGAAGCGUGAGUGACGGUAAUGGGUAAAGAAGCACCGGCUAACUACGUG
rnacentral:rRNA from 1 species